GACGAACGCUGGCGGCGUGCUUAACACAUGCAAGUCGAACGGAAAGGCCCUGCUUUUGUGGGGUGCUCGAGUGGCGAACGGGUGAGUAACACGUGAGUAACCUGCCCUUGACUUUGGGAUAACUUCAGGAAACUGGGGCUAAUACCGGAUAGGAGCUCCUGCUGCAUGGUGGGGGUUGGAAAGUUUCGGGGGUUGGGGAUGGACUCGCGGCUUAUCAGCUUGUUGGUGGGGUAGUGGCUUACCAAGGCUUUGACGGGUAGCCGGCCUGAGAGGGUGACCGGCAAACGGGGGAGGGGGAUACGGCCCGGACCCGUCGGGAAGGCAGCGUGGGGGAAUGUUGCGCAAGGGGGGGAAGCCUGAUGGGGGACCGCCGCGGGGGGGAUGAGGGCCUUGGGGUUGAAAACCGCUUUCCCCUGGGAGGAAGGGUGGGGAAGGGAAAUGGGAAAAAAAGACCCGCUAAAUAAGUU
rnacentral:rRNA from 1 species